rnacentral:ncRNA from 2 species
UGAAUGGAUUAACGAGAUUCCCACUGUC